rnacentral:rRNA from 1 species
ACCUUGGUAAUAACGGGUAACGGGGUUUUAGGGAACGACUCCGGAGAGUUUGCCUUAAAAAUGGCAAACACUUCCAAGGAAGGCAGCAGGCGCGCAAAUUACCCAAUCCGGAAUCCGGGAGGUAGUGACAAAAAAUAUCGACACAGGGUCCAAUAGGGCUUUGUGAUUGGAAUGAGCAAAAGUUAAAAUGCAUAGCGAAAGCCAUUGGAGGGCAAGUCUGGUGCCAGCAGCCGCGGUAAUUCCAGCUCCAAUAGCGUAUGUUAUAGUUGCUGUAGUUGAAAAGCUCGUAGUUGGAUUUCGUUUGCAGACAAGAACUUUUUUUACAAAAAGGACUUUUUCUUGUGAUUUCUCUAUACGUGUAAACGUGGGAUGGAUUACAAGACUGCAAAAUACUAAGCUAGAAGUUGGACAAAAAGGAUGGUUAAUUCGAUUCUUUUUUAGUUGUGUAAAAAGCAAAUGGAUUAUUCCGAGUCAAAUUGGAAGAAUGGUCUACUUCUUUGUUUACUGUGAGUAAAUUAGAGUGUUUCAAGCAGUCCAAAUAGGACAUUGCAUACAAUUAGCAUGGGAUAAUGGAAUAGGACUUGGGUUCUUUUUUCAUUGGUUUUAAAAAUAUACAAGGGCCAGAGUAAUGAUUAAAAGGGACAGUCGGGGGUAUUGGUAUUUUGAUGUCAGAGGUGAAAUUCUAAGAUUUUCAAAAGACUAACAGGUGCGAAAGCAUUUGCCAAGGAUGUUUUCAUUAAUCAAGAACGAAAGUUGGGGGAUCGAAGACGAUUAGAUACCGUCGUAGUCUUAACUAUAAACGAUGCCGACCAGAGAUCAGAGGAUGUUGAAUGGAAGACACUUUUGGAAUCUUGAGCGAAAGCACAAGUUUUUGGGUUCUGGGGGGAGUAUGGUCGCAAGACUGAAACUUAAAGGAAUUGACGGGAGGGUACACCAGGUGUGGAGUUUGCGGCUCAAUUUAACACAACACAGGAAAACUCACCAGGGCAAGACAUUGUAAGGAUUGACAGAUUGAUAGCUCUUUCUUGAUUCGAUGGGUGGUGGUGCAUGGCCGUUCUUAGUUGGUGGAGUGAUUUGUCUGGUUUAUUCCGAUAACGAACGAGAUCUCAUCUUAUUAAAUAGAGGUAUACAAAUGGGUAUUUAAAGAUGUAUGGCAUAUGAGUUUUAGCAGUAGCAAUAUUGCUGAGGCCAUAGAGUUGUACCUUGCUCAUUUGGAUAUAUGGGGUUAAAAUGUAAAAAGUUUUAAUCUUGACUCUUCUUAAAAGGACUGUUGGCGUUAAGCCAAAGGUAGUUUGAGAC